GAUGAACGCUAGCGGCAGGCCUAAUACAUGCAAGUCGAACGUGAUUGUUGUAGCAAUAUGACAUGAAAGUGGCGCACGGGUGCGUAACACGUAUGCAAUCUACCUCUAAUAGGGGGAUAGCUUCGAGAAAUCGGAAUUAAUACCCCAUAACAUCAUUAAAUGGCAUCAUUUGAUGAUCAAACCUCCGGGGAUUAGAGAUGAGCAUGCGCAACAUUAGCUAGAUGGUGAGGUAAUGGCUCACCAUGGCUACGAUGUUUAGGGGGUCUGAGAGGAUGAUCCCCCCANACUGGUACUGAGACACGGACCAGACUCCUACGGGAGGCAGCAGUAGGGAAUAUUGGGCAAUGGAGGAAACUCUGACCCAGCCAUGCCGCGUGCAGGAUGACGGCCCUCUGGGUUGUAAACUGCUUUUAUACGGGAAGAAAAAUCUACGUGUAGUAUACUGACGGUACCGUAAGAAUAAGGAUCGGCUAACU
rnacentral:rRNA from 1 species